AGCGAACGCUGGCGGCAGGCUUAACACAUGCAAGUCGAGCGGGCACUUUCGGGUGUCAGCGGCGGACGGGCGAGUAACGCGUGGGAACGUGCCCUCUGGUUCGGAAUAACUCAGGGAAACUUGAGCUAAUACCGGAUACGCCCUUUGGGGAAAGGCUUGCUGCCGGAGGAUCGGCCCGCGUCUGAUUAGCUAGUUGGUGAGGUAACGGCUCACCAAGGCGACGAUCAGUAGCUGGUCUGAGAGGAUGAUCAGCCACACUGGGACUGAGACACGGCCCAGACUCCUACGGGAGGCAGCAGUGGGGAAUAUUGGACAAUGGGCGCAAGCCUGAUCCAGCCAUGCCGCGUGAGUGAUGAAGGCCUUAGGGUUGUAAAGCUCUUUUAUCCGGGACGAUAAUGACGGUACCGGAGGAAUAAGCCCCGGCUAACUUCGUG
rnacentral:rRNA from 1 species